CGAUGCACAUGCUGGCAGCGCUGACAAGGCCCUCUCCAGUAUGAAGCUGUUCAUGAUUGGCACGCUGGUAGCGCUGGUAACAGUCGUACACAUGUACGGGGGUGGCACCCAGGGAGCCGCAGUCGAGGAGCCUGUGUUGGAAGAAAGAAGCGUGCCAUGCGGUUCAGGUAGGAUGUGCAUGAGUAACCACCACUGUCCUCAAGGCUGUGUCUGCAAGAGUGACUGGGGCUAUCCCCCUAGGCCCACGUGCU